rnacentral:misc_RNA from 1 species
GUUUGCUUCCUCCAACAAAAUAAAGCUCAGUACGCACAAGCUUUCGGCUUCUCUGUUUCAGAAUAGAAACAGCCACAUCAACGAGAAGAUUUACCAAGAAAAAAGCUUCAAUGGAGUUACUGAACCCGAACUUGCCUCAUGGUGCUAACAUUGGCGGUGACAUCUCGUUGAUGCUUGAGCUUCCAGAAAAUGACAGGUUCUUCAAGAAAAAGAAGAAACUGCUGGAAGACAUGGGUUCUCAUGCCAAACAUACAUCCAUACAUAGCUUUGCAAGUCCUGGUGAAGUUGAGUCUUCUUUACUUUUGAUGCUUGAGAGAGCUAGAAUCAUAAACUUAGAUGAGCUGGAACUUUACUUUGGUGGCGAAGAUGUCAAGGACAUGGUAGGCUUUAAUAGUCCAAGGAAUGAGA